rnacentral:lncRNA from 1 species
CGGUCGUUGGUGAGGUCUUCAAGAUCGUGAAGAGCGUGGCCAACUUUGAACAUGUUCAAAACAAUCGUGGUGCGGUCGUGGCGAAAUCAGGUCGUAGUAGAAGCGUAGUGAGAGCGCACUAAGAUCGUAGUAAGAUCGCAAAGGUCGCUGUACAAUCGUAGCGAGAGCGUAGCGAAAGCGUGAUUCUAUUCGGAGAGACUGCGCUACGAUCGCACAGCGACGUUAUCACGACCUCACUACGACCAUCACGUUCUCACUGCGACCCAACUACGCUUCCUCUACGACUAUACCACGCUGUUCAAGACCAUAGUACGAUUCUAGUACGCCCUUGCCGUCCUCAUCACGCUCUUCUUACGACCUGACUACGUUCACACUACGACCAUCAUUCUCAUUGUCAUUUUCACAUAAAAUAUAUAAAAAAGCUCCCUAGAUUUUGUUUGUUUGAAUUUAAUUAUCCAUUUGCUCUAACGGCUCAACCAUGUUUCUCGUUUUUAUAUAGAUUAGACCGUUGGGUUUCCCGUUUAAAUGGUUUAACACUAG